GUAGGGGGCGAGCGUUGUCCGGAUUUAUUGGGCGUAAAGAGCUCGUAGGCGGUUUGGCAAGUCGGGUGUGAAAACUCCGGGCUCAACUCGGAGACGCCACUCGAUACUGCCAUGACUCGAGUCCGGUAGGGGAGUGCGGAAUUCCUGGUGUAGCGGUGAAAUGCGCAGAUAUCAGGAGGAACACCGGUGGCGAAGGCGGCACUCUGGGCCGGAACUGACGCUGAGGAGCGAAAGCGUGGGGAGCGAACAGGAUUAGAUACCCUGGUAGUCCACGCCGUAAACGUUGGGCACUAGGUGUGGGGCUCGAUCGACGGGCUCCGUGCCGUAGCUAACGCAUUAAGUGCCCCGCCUGGGAAGUACGGCCGCAAGGCUA
rnacentral:rRNA from 1 species